rnacentral:rRNA from 1 species
AGAGUUUGAUCCUGGCUCAGAUUGAACGCUGGCGGCAGGCCUAACACAUGCAAGUCGAACGGUAACAGGAAGCAGCUUGCUGCUUCGCUGACGAGUGGCGGACGGGUGAGUAAUGUCUGGGAAACUGCCCGAUGGAGGGGGAUAACUACUGGAAACGGUAGCUAAUACCGCAUAAUGUCGCAAGACCAAAGCGGGGGACCUCCGGGCCUCGCGCCAUCAGAUGAACCCAUAUGGGAUUAGCUAGUAGGUGAGGUAACGGCUUACCUAGGCGACGAUCCCUAGCUGGUCUGAGAGGAUGAUCAGCCACACUGGGACUGAGACACGGCCCAGACUCCUACGGGAGGCAGCAGUGGGGAAUAUUGCACAAUGGGCGCAAGCCUGAUGCAGCCAUGCCGCGUGUAUGAAGAAGGCCUUCGGGUUGUAAAGUACUUUCAGCGGGGAGGAAAGGUUGGUGCCUAAUACGUAUCAACUGUGACGUUACUCGCAGAAGAAGCACCGGCUAACUCCGUGCCAGCCGCCGCGGUAAUUC